rnacentral:rRNA from 1 species
CGUGUAGGCGGUUGUUUAAGUCUGAUGUGAAAGCCCCGGGCUCAACCCGGGAAGUGCAUUGGAAACUGGGCAACUUGAGUACGGGAGAGGGAAGUGGAAUUUCGAGUGUAGGGGUGAAAUCCGUAGAUAUUCGAAGGAACACCGGUGGCGAAGGCGGCUUCCUGGACCGAUACUGACGCUGAGACGCGAAAGCGUGGGGAGCAAACAGGAUUAGAUACCCUGGUAGUCC